AGAUCGCUUGAGCCCAGGUGGUCAAGGCUGCAGUGAGCUAUGAUUGUGCUACUGCACUCCAGCCUGGGCGACAGAG
rnacentral:snRNA from 1 species